rnacentral:tRNA from 2 species
AGCCGGAAUAGCUCAG